UACGAAGGGGGCUAGCGUUGCUCGGAAUUACUGGGCGUAAAGCGCACGUAGGCGGCUUUGUAAGUUAGAGGUGAAAGCCCGGGGCUCAACUCCGGAACUGCCUUUAAGACUGCAUCGCUUGAAUCCAGGAGAGGUGAGUGGAAUUCCGAGUGUAGAGGUGAAAUUCGUAGAUAUUCGGAAGAACACCAGUGGCGAAGGCGACUCACUGGACACGUAUUGACGCUGAGGUGCGAAAGCGUGGGGAGCAAACAGG
rnacentral:rRNA from 1 species